rnacentral:lncRNA from 1 species
GUGACUUGACUCUUAGCUGUCAAUCUGGUGUUUCGUUCUCCCCUCAAAAUCCUCUGAAAUGUUAUUUUUAUAGGGUUUUGAAAUUAGGUCAAGUUAAGUGAAGAAAGAAGUCAAUUUCAGCUGAGAUUUUCUCAUCAGACUAUGUGGGCCGCAGUUUGCCCAAUUAAUUAACAGAAAUCAUAAUUGCUCUAGGACUGUUACAAUUCAUCAAUUUCAACAAGAUUUUUGACCAUUUUUCAUGCCGAACUGGGUGAAGUGGUAAACAUUAUAGUUGUAUCUUUUUCUCUUAACUUUCCAAUAGUCUAAGAAUCACUUCAUUUGAAGCUCUGUAGAGAGAGUUAUAGUUGAAAUACCAAAACAUGUGUAGUGCAAGUCUACACUUUGAAAUUGUUCUUCUUUUUCCAUUAAAAUUCUUCUUUCAUCAAACACCUACAAAAGCAUAAAUAAAUUAGUAACAAUUUAUCUUAACCACAGUAACACCAAUUUAAGCAUAAAAUGAACUAAGAUUAGGCUGACUCACCUAAAUAAAGUAAUUUAAAAUAAUUAAAUAAAACUUACUAAUUUUUAUGUAUUACUAUAAAAACUACAUUAAAUUACUAUAAAAAAUAAUUUUAUAUCAUAAAGUUAUCAAUAUAUUCGCCAAUUGGUUUCAUGAUGAAAUAGUCUGAGUAAUAAGAGUUUGUGACUGAAUGUGCUGCCGGAUGAAAUGAGAAUUUAUUUCUAUAUGCUUUGUUCGUUCAUGGAAGACCAGAUUUGCUGUGAUGUGAAUAGCAGCUUGAUUAUCACAGAACAAGGGAAUCUGUCACAACCAAAUUCUCAAGCCAUGAUCGGUGCAAGGACCUAAUGGGCUCAGCCCACUAAGCUCAAGCAAGCCUACUAAAUUGAUCUUAUACAUUAAUCCUUAUUCAUUUAGAAUCUGAAAUUUGAAAUGUUCAAAUACCGUUCCUUUGAAAACAUUGCAUAAAACACAAUCAUACAUUCAUAAUGGCAUCAUCCACCAAUAUAUAUUCAUAAAUAGAUUAACAAUUGAUUCUUAAUAUUACACACAAAGUAUUCAUAUACACAUGAUUAGACCUUGACCGUUAACGGAGUGACUCUGGGUACAAUUGCUAACAUUUAAUGUCACAAAAAACCUACCGAGCAAUGGAUAGGGAGGAACACCUCGUCCUAAGAUCCAAUCACCUUUGACUUAGAAAAACCUAAAACAUGAAUUUUAAAAACGUGAAUACAAACUCAGUGAGUGAACAUAGGAAGGGAAAAAGCAACGUUAAAAAAGGUUUAGAAAUCAUGAUGCACAUAUUUGAAAACAAUGCAACUUAGUUCAGGUUCUUAUUAAAAUCCCUCCAUCAAACCCUUGGUUAUUAAAUAUUUUCAUAAUAAAGGAACCAUAUUUAGCAUGAAAUUGGAAAGAGAGAGAAUUUUCAGUAAUCAUCCAAGCAAGACAGUAUAAACAGAAUGUUUCUUGCUGCAAUAAAAUCAAUUCACAAGUAAAUAGAAAAUUUUCAAGAUUCAUCAUGCCAUAUAAUCACAUAUUAUAAUCAUAAUCUUUCAAUUGCAUAUACAUAUACAUAUACUUAAGCAUAUAUCAAUUAGCAUACCACCACAUCGGCUCCAGCUCAUGUGCAUCCCCCCACAUCAUGCACAUAGCCGGACACCCCAUCUCACCCAGCUCAUGUGCAUCAUUACCGGUAUAUACACUGCCCUCUACGCACAUGCACGGUUGUAAAUAUCACGACAGCAUCAUUACCGGCAUAUGCACUACCCUCUACGCACAUGCACGAUUGUAAAUAUCACCACAGCAUCGUUACCGGGAUGUGCACUGCCCUCUCCACACAUACAUGAUUGUAAAUAUCACGACAGCAUCAUUACCGGUAUGUGCACUACCCUCUCCGCACAUGCACGGUUGUAUCAAUUAUACAAAAUUACUUAACAAUAUAUAUAUAUACAUAUCAGCGUCAUAUAGAAGUACAUAGAUUCAUCACAAUCAUGUUCCACAUCACAAAAACAUUUCACUAAAGGCUUGUUCUCGUGCAAGUUUUUGAAGAAAAACCAAUAAAACAUUUUAGGGGAUUCAAUCAAACAGAAAUGUGUAUAUCCCAAAACAUUUUAAUACAAGUUCACUCAUCUUAGUAUAGCGGGAUAUUACAUCGCUAUUUGAUCAGAGGUAUUUCUAACUAUUUUUACUAGCCGAUCACUCGUUAUUUACUCUAGCACGCCACCACAGUACUCUAACCUUAUCUUUGCACUUUCUAAUAAUAAUACGAACUCAGUAUAUUUAAUUAUAUACGUAUACAAGUAGCACUUCAAUCAGUUAAUCCUUACUCAAAUCUAUAUUUUUCAUCCUAUCAUGAAACCAUAUUCAACUAACUCACAUCUUAAUAUAUUUUUACCAAACUUACUUAUAUCCAUUGCUUACGUAAUUCCUUAAAUUAUAUUACCAGCAACUUAAUUAUGAUGUCACGUGUCUACUUCAACCUUUCUAAAUAAUUUCCACCCAAAUCCAUCUUAUAUUUCCACACAAAAUCCACACAUAUGGCAGCAACAAUCAUUCUCACUUUCACUCGAUUAUUUUCUAAUUUACAAGCAUCAGCAUCUAUCUAACUUUCAAUACUUUGUUUCUCAACCCUCCAUCCACAAUAUUCCUUUUUCAUUUCUUUCAAACGACAUGCCAUAAAAUCUUAACAAUUUUCAACUAGCUAAUGCAAAUAGAUCCUUUCAACAACCAUAAUUUUCACAAUAUUCAACUACCCGUAGGCUUUAAAACAUAGUGUUAAGCUUACCAUUUUCCUUUUUCACUUUGAGUCCUUCAUAUACCCAUGGGUUUAUUGGCUUACAUGUUAUCAAUUUUUCUCCAAUCAAGCCAAUC